AACGGGUAAGCUAAGAUAGAAUAGGGUUUGCUAGGAUGAAAAUGGCAAGGACAUGAUAGGAUAAGGUAGUAUAGGAACGGCUAAUAUGAGAUAGAAUAAGAUAAGGUAGGAUAAAAAUGGCUAAGGUAUGAUAGAAUAGGCCAAGAUAGGAUAGGAAUGGCUAAGGUAAGAUAUAAUAGGAUAAGGUAGGAUAGGAAUGGUUAAGGUAUGAUAGAAUAGGCCAAGAUAGGAUAGGAAUGGCUAAGGUAAGAUAUAAUAGGAUAAGGUAGGAUAGGAAUGGUUAAGGUAUGAUAGAAUAGGCCAAGAUAGGAUAGGAAUGGCUAAGGUAAGAUAUAAUAGGAUAAGGUAGGAUAGGAAUGGUUAAGGUAUGAUAGAAUAGGCCAAGAUAGGAUAGGAAUGGCUAAGGUAAGAUAUAAUAGGAUAAGGUAGUAUAGGAACGGCUAAUAUGAGAUAGAAUAAGAUAAGGUAGGAUAAAAAUGGCUAAGGUAUGAUAGAAUAGGCCAAGAUAGGAU